GACGAACGCUGGCGGCGUGCUUAACACAUGCAAGUCGAACGAAGUGGCGAACGGGUGAGUAACGCGUAAUCAACCUGCCAUUCAGAGGGGGACAACAGUUGGAAACGACUGCUAAUACCGCAUACUGAAGGAGUGGAUUGCGUCUGAUUAGCUAGUUGGAGGGGUAAAGGCCUACCAAGGCGACGAUCCGUAACUGGUCUGAGAGGAUGAUCAGCCACACUGGAACUGAGACACGGCCCAGACUCCUACGGGAGGCAGCAGUGGGGAAUAUUGGACAAUGGGCGAAAGCCUGAUCCAGCCAUGCCGCGUGUGUGAAGAAGGUCUUCGGAUUGUAAAGCACUUUAAGUUGGGAGGCGUUACCAACAGAAUAAGCACCGGCUAACUUCGUGCCAGCAGCCGCGGUAAUAC
rnacentral:rRNA from 1 species